CCUACGGGCGGCAGCAGUGGGGAAUAUUGCACAAUGAGGGAAACCCUGAUGCAGCGACGCCGCGUGAGUGAAGAAGGAAUUCGGUAUGUAAAGCGCUAUCAGCAGGGAAGAAAAUGACGGUACCUGAGUAAGAAGCCCCGGCUAACUACGUGCCAGCAGCCGCGGUAAUACGUAGGGGGCAAGCGUUAUCCGGAUUUACUGGGGGUAAAGGGAGCGUAGACGGCAGUGCAAGUCUGGAGUGAAAGGCGGGGGCUCAACCCCCGGACUGCUCUGGAAACUGGCAGGCUGGAGUGCAGGAGAGGUAAGUGGAAUUCCUAGUGGAGCGGUGAAAUGCGUAGAUAUUAGGAGGAACACCAGUGGCGAAGGCGGCUUACUGGACUGUAACUGACGUUGAGGCACGAAAGCGUGGGGAGCAAACAGGAUUAGAUACCCUGGUAGUC
rnacentral:rRNA from 1 species